rnacentral:rRNA from 1 species
GACGAACGCUGGCGGCGUGCUUAACACAUGCAAGUCGAACGGUAAGGCCCUUCGGGGUACACGAGUGGCGAACGGGUGAGUAACACGUGGGUGAUCUGCCCUGCACUUCGGGAUAAGCCUGGGAAACUGGGUCUAAUACCGGAUAGGACCACUGCCUGCAUGGGUGGGGGUGGAAAGCUUUUGCGGUGUGGGAUGGGCCCGCGGCCUAUCAGCUUGUUGGUGGGGUGAUGGCCUACCAAGGCGACGACGGGUAGCCGGCCUGAGAGGGUGACCGGCCACAAUGGGGCUGAGAUACGGCCCAGACUCCUACGGGAGGCAGCAGUGGGGAAUAUUGCACAAUGGGCGCAAGCCUGAUGCAGCGACGCCGCGUGAGGGAUGACGGCCUUCGGGUUGUAAACCUCUUUCAGCACCGACGAAGCGCAAGUGACGGUAGGUGCAGAAGAAGGACCGGCCAACUACGUGCCAGCCGCCGCCGUAA